rnacentral:piRNA from 1 species
UGACUGAGGUACCUAUUAACAUAUCCAAGCC